CUACCGGGGUAUCUAAUCCUGUUUGCUCCCCACACUUUCGUGCCUUAGCGUCAAUACUCGUCCAGAUAGCCGCCUACGCCACUGAUGUUCCUUCCAAUAUCUACGAAUUUCACCUCUACACUGGAAAUUCCGCUAUCCUCUCCGAGAUUCUAGUUAAACAGUUUUGAAAGCAGUUCCAGGGUUGAGCCCUGGGAUUUCACUUCCAACUUGAAUAACCGCCUACGCACGCUUUACGCCCAGUAAUUCCGAACAACGCUUGCCCCCUUCGUAUUACCGCGGCUGCUGGCAC
rnacentral:rRNA from 1 species